rnacentral:rRNA from 1 species
GAUGAACGCUGGCGGUCUGCUUAACACAUGCAAGUCGAACGGACCCUUCGGGGUUAGUGGGCGGACGGGUGAGUAACGCGUGAGAAUCUGCCUUCAGGUCUGGGACAACAGAAGGAAACUUCUGCUAAGUCCGGGAUGAGCCUUUUGGUAAAAGAUAAAUUGCCUGGAGAUGAAGCGUCGCGUCUGAUUAGCUAGUUGGUGUGGUAAAAGCAUACCAAGGCAACGAUCAGUAGCUGGUCUGAGAGGAUGAGCAGCCACACUGGGACUGAGACACGGCCCAGACUCCUAC